ACACUUUUGAGUAAACAUCAGUUUUGUGCUUGUUGGACAUUUGGGAAAAGCAUCAGUGUUGUUUACUGCAUUAAGACAGUGAUAUAAGACAAGAGUCAUACAAACCUUAAUUAUUCAAACAAGAAAAUGUAGAAGCUGUCACUUGGACGAUACCCUUUCAAAAGUAAACUUUAUUUCUACAUAAACAGUGCGUAUCUCAAAGGUACAUAUUGAUACAUCUGAGGUAUGUAAAUAGUUCAUAUUAGGACAUGAUGUUUUAUAAACAAGGUUUGGGAGGAGCUAAUAAGUCAAUGAACACGGCUGGCUCUCGAUCAUUGAGCAAUGAACACGGCUGGUUAUCAAUCACUAAUCAACACAACAACUUAGUACCAGCUCUAUAAAUAAUCAAGACUCCUUACCCUCAUUCUCCGGAAUUAUCGCAAACCCACCUCCACCCCUUCACCUCACUACGAACAUUUAGAUCAGCACCGGGGAUAACACGGGUCAGGGCACACCCCAGGUCCGGGGCUCCUUCCCCGGUCAAGGGACGAACGUUCCGAACUCGGGGGGUAUUUCCAGAGCUCGGAACCUUAGCCCCGGGACAGCACACCACACACGCAUAUUAGCAGUCCCACUUUAUUGUCAGUGAGGCGAACUCGGAAAACACUUUUCUGACAGUGUAAGUAAAGAGAAGCUGGAGAGCCCAAAAUGUAACGGUAACACUUUAUUUUACGACCCGCAAAGUACCGCGUAAUUAAACCGAAUUUACAGCGUACCUAUUUGUAACAACAGGGUAGGUAACCUGUAGGUAUAAGGGAAUAAUAUUUUAAGUUUGGGGUAAUAAGGGGGUAAGAAUAUGAAGAAUUAUAAAUUAUUUAUACUCUAAGUAUUUUAUAACAACAGGGUACCUAUUGUAAUAUUACGUGGUAUGUAUGACUUAGUCAAGUCUAUGGGGAAAUUAUGUUUUAUUUAUUUUUUAUUGUGAAUUUUUCAUAUUGACUACUGAAUGUUGUAUACAGUCAAUGUCUACGAGCCACAUCGGCAAAUAAAUAUAACAGCAUAUCACUUUUAUUUUAGUAGCCUAUAUUACUUGCUUUUAAUAACAAAAGUCAAGCUGAUUUAAUGUGGUUAUCUUUUUUUUAAGGUAAGUACAAUAAAAAUAGCAACUUAUUCCCUAUUUACCAGGAAACUCCUACAUUUGCGGACAUAUUUGAAGUGGUGCUUUGCAAUUUAUUUACUGUAAAGUAUUUUAGCCAAAUAUAAUUUAUGCAAUGGCAAACCAGAAUGAAACAACAGCAGAUAUCAGCUCCCGCUAAAGCAAAAGACGACUACAUGCGUAGACUACUGCGCAGGUGUAGAGCGCGCGGUCGUCUGCAGGAGGUUUGCUGGAACGCGAUCCUGAGGUGAAAUUUCUUUAAGAGGUUUUAAAAACGUUCUACACUGUGGAGUACAGCUGCGAGUGAUGUUAGCAGGUUCCGCAUGCUGGAUAAGAACAGCAUUUGUGAGACGACAUCAACUCAUCAUCCGAGUGGACAAGAACACCAACAGAGGAAGCCAAGCCGCAAAAACAAUGAAAAAUUGUCAUGACUUUUUAUUUUAAAUAAAAGUUAUGUGAUAAUAAACAUUAA